CUCGGUGUAUCCCACCCCUCAGACUUUCUUACCUUUUGAUGUAGCUCUUGCUGUACAGGAUCUGCUGAAGCAAGGUCACCAAGGCAAAGGCGCAGAUGAAGAUAAAGAGCAAAGUUCGAUUCCCCAACAAAUCUCUGUUGGCGGAGGGGUCUGCGUAGCGCAUCCUGGCGGCCCGGCGCCGCGGACGCACUGUGCGGGGCGGGGCAGCAAUCACGCGCGCUAUGCGGGGGCCCCGGGGGCCCUUAGGAGAACUGCGUGGUCAAGAGGGCAGAGGACUUGGCGGGGCAAAGUUUCCCGCGGGCGCAAUCCCGGAGGCGGCAGCAAAAGGACAGGGCCGGCCGCGUGGAGAUCCUCUGAGCCCCAGGCCUGCCCUCUCGUGCUGCGGCUUCUGGGAGCCGGUGUCCCGCAGCCGCGGAUCUGCCCGUGGAGGGGCGACGGCAGGUGCGGGGACCGGACCGCCCUCCCGCCGAGGUGACGACCAAUGGGGAUCCGGGCCGGCGAGGCUGGGCCGAGACUCAGCCCGACGCGCCGCCCACUCUGGGCUGGCUCGGGAUUCGGGGCGCCAGGCGCAUGGAGCUGACCGGGGAACAGCGCGUCUGGUCCCCGCGCCCGCAGCCCGGGAGUGCGAAGGUUGGCCUCCGAUGCUGCGGAGGCGAGGUGGGCGACGCAACCUCAGGACGCCGGGCCGUGGGGAGGGGGAGGGGCGUAGCGUAAAGAGCCAGGUUGGAAUCGGGGUUCGGAGGACGCAGACCGCAGAGGCAACCUCAUCGAGACGAGCAUUUGCAUGCGGUACGCAGGUCAUUGAGUCACCGCGGCAGCGUCCUCGUGCGCGGCUGGAGAAUCCUCCGUGAAAGCGGAGCAAGGUCAGCCGGGCAGACCUUCAAGGACGGCGCGCGCGGCCCCUGCAUGCUAAUGGACUGAGGGACUGUCCCUGGGGCCUUGACUUCCAACUCUGGCUGAGCAGAAAUUCAGGGUCUGCCGUCCCGUUCCCCCACCCCACCGUGCACUAUCCCUACCCCCGCCGCUACCCUCUCACCAUCCCAACAUCUGCAGCUCGCGGCCUUUUGUCAAUAACCCCAUUGUCACCCAGAUAGUAGGACUUUGUCUCAUCCUUUGGAGCUAUUCAUAGACAGUAGGUCAACAGCAGGCCGCCUUCGGGUACUACGGUUGCCCAAAGCUGUAAGAAGUCACUGGGUCCAGCAGUGAGCACUCUGUGCUUCAGUGUAAGCUGGGGAAACCGUCCCCAGAGAUG
rnacentral:lncRNA from 1 species